rnacentral:rRNA from 1 species
GACGAACGCUGGCGGCGUGCUUAACACAUGCAAGUCGAGCGGUAAGGCCCUUUCGGGGGUACACGAGCGGCGAACGGGUGAGUAACACGUGGGUGACCUGCCCUUAGCUCUGGGAUAAGCCUGGGAAACUGGGUCUAAUACCGGAUAUGACCUCAUGACUCAUGUUGUGGGGUGGAAAGCCUUGUGCGGCUAGGGAUGGGCCCGCGGCCUAUCAGCUUGUUGGUGGGGUAAUUGCCUACCAAGGCGACGACGGGUAGCCGGCCUGAGAGGGCGACCGGCCACACUGGGACUGAGACACGGCCCAGACUCCUACGGGAGGCAGCAGUGGGGAAUCUUGCGCAAUGGGCGAAAGCCUGACGCAGCGACGCCGCGUGAGGGAUGACGGCCUCGGUU